rnacentral:rRNA from 1 species
GAUGAACGCUGGCGGCCUGCCUAAUACAUGCAAGUCGAGCGAACAGACGAGGAGCUUGCUCCUCUGACGUUAGCGGCGGACGGGUGAGUAACACGUGGAUAACCUACCUAUAAGACUGGGAUAACUUCGGGAAACCGGAGCUAAUACCGGAUAAUAUAUUGAACCGCAUGGUUCAAUAGUGAAAGACGGUUUUGCUGUCACUUAUAGAUGGAUCCGCGCCGCAUUAGCUAGUUGGUAAGGUAACGGCUUACCAAGGCGACGAUGCGUAGCCGACCUGAGAGGGUGAUCGGCCACACUGGAACUGAGACACGGUCCAGACUCCUACGGGAGGCAGCAGUAGGGAAUCUUCCGCAAUGGGCGAAAGCCUGACGGAGCAACGCCGCGUGAGUGAUGAAGGUCUUCGGAUCGUAAAACUCUGUUAUUAGGGAAGAACAAAUGUGUAAGUAACUAUGCACGUCUUGACGGUACCUAAUCAGAAAGCCACGGCUAACUACGUG